ACAUGAUGAGAUACCAGCUGGCACCAGUCAUAGAGUGAUUUGUACUCCCUUUCAGUGAUGACCAAAAUGCUUAGGUCUUAGACCAUUUCUGAA
rnacentral:snoRNA from 1 species